GGUGGGGAUGACGUCAAAUCCUCAUGGCCUUUAUGACCAGGGCUACACACGUACUACAAUGGCCGGUACAAAGGGCAGCCACUUAGCGAUAAGGAGCCAAUCCCGUAAAGCCGGUCUCAGUCCGGAUUGGAGUCUGCAACUCGACUCCAUGAAGUUGGAAUCGCUAGUAAUCGCAGAUCAGCACGCUGCGGUGAAUACGUUCCCGGGCCUU
rnacentral:rRNA from 1 species